ACUUAAAUUGAAGAGUUUGAUCAUGGCUCAGAUUGAACGCUGGCGGCAGGCCUAACACAUGCAAGUCGAGCGGUAGCACAGAGAGCUUGCUCUCGGGUGACGAGCGGCGGACGGGUGAGUAAUGUCUGGGAAACUGCCUGAUGGAGGGGGAUAACUACUGGAAACGGUAGCUAAUACCGCAUAACGUCGCAAGACCAAAGUGGGGGACCUUCGGGCCUCAUGCCAUCAGAUGUGCCCAGAUGGGAUUAGCUGGUAGGUGGGGUAACGGCUCACCUAGGCGACGAUCCCUAGCUGGUCUGAGAGG
rnacentral:rRNA from 1 species